AUACUUACCUGGAUGGGUCGAUAGGCUAUCAACAAAGGUCCAUGGCUUAGAUUGAUGACCUUCAUUGCAUUUGGAAGCGCACAUGCCUGAAGUCGGCUCAAACUGGUCGAGCCUACAUCAUAAUUUGUGACAGCGAUGAGCCUAUGUUCGCACGCCCUUACC